rnacentral:rRNA from 1 species
CAAGCGGUGGAGCAUGUGGUUUAAUUCGACGCAACGCGAAGAACCUUACCUGGGCUCGAACGGCUCACGAAAAUUCGUGGAAACAUGGAUUUCCCGCAAGGGACGGGAGUCGAGGUGCUGCAUGGCUGUCGUCAGCUCGUGUCGUGAGAUGUUGGGUUAAGUCCCGCAACGAGCGCAACCCUCGUCCUGUGUUGCUACUCCGCAAGGAGGCACUCUCAGGAGACUGCCGGCGAUAAGCUGGAGGAAGGUGGGGAUGACGUCAAGUCAUCAUGGCCUUUAUGUCCAGGGCUACACACGUGCUACAAUGGACGGUACAAAGCGCGGCAAACCCGCGAGGGAGAGCAAAUCGCAAAAAACCGUUCUCAGUUCGGAUCGCAGGCUGCAACUCGCCUGCGUGAAGCUGGAAUCGCUAGUAAUGGCGUAUCAGAACGACGCCGUGAAUACGUUCCCGGGCCUUGUACACACC